rnacentral:rRNA from 1 species
AGCAGCCGCGGUAAUUCCAGCUCCAAUAGCGUAUAUUAAAGUUGCUGCAGUUAAAAAGCUCGUAGUUGAAUUUCGGGACCAUCAUGUCGGUCGUGCCUCGGUACGUACUGGUAUUGUUGGUUUCUCCCUUCUGACGAACCACGAUGUCAUUUAUUUGGUGUUGUGGGGAAUCAGGACUGUUACUUUGAAAAAAUUAGAGUGUUUAAAGCAGGCUCACGCUUGAAUACAUUAGCAUGGAAUAAUGAAAUAGGACGUUUGAUUCUAUUUUGUUGGUUUCUAGGAUCGACGUAAUGAUUAAUAGGGAUAGUUGGGGGCAUUAGUAUUCAAUUGUCAGAGGUGAAAUUCUUGGAUUUAUUGAAGACUAACUACUGCGAAAGCAUUUGCCAAGGAUGUUUUCAUUAAUCAAGAACGAAAGUUAGGGGAUCGAAGACGAUCAGAUACCGUCGUAGUCUUAACCAUAAACUAUGCCGACUAGGGAUCGGAUGAUGUUAAUUUUUAAUGACUCAUUCGGCGCCUUACG